GAUGAACGCUAGCUACAGGCUUAACACAUGCAAGUCGAGGGGAAACGAUAUUGGAAGCUUGCUUCCGAUAGGCGUCGACCGGCGCACGGGUGAGUAACGCGUAUCCAACCUGCCCAUCACUUGGGGAUAACCUUGCGAAAGUAAGACUAAUACCCAAUGACGUCUCUAGAAGACAUCUGAAAGAGAUUAGAGAUUUAUCGGUGAUGGAUGGGGAUGCGUCGGAUUAGCUUGUUGGCGGGGUAACGGCCCACCAAGGCGACGAUCAGUAGGGGUUCUGAGAGGAAGGUCCCCCACAUUGGAACUGAGACACGGUCCAAACUCCUACGGGAGGCAGCAGUGAGGAAUAUUGGUCAAUGGGCGAGAGCCUGAACCAGCCAAGUAGCGUGCAGGAAGACGGCCCUAUGGGUUGUAAACUGCUUUUAUAAGGGAAUAAAGUGGGAGUCGUGACUCCUUUUGCAUGUACCUUAUGAAUAAGGACCGGCUAAUUCCGUGCCAGCCGCCGCCGUAA
rnacentral:rRNA from 1 species